rnacentral:rRNA from 1 species
ACAGAAAAGGCCGGGCGUACGGAAGGUCAUUA